rnacentral:rRNA from 1 species
UACAGAGGGUGCGAGCGUUAAUCGGAAUCAUUGGGCGUAAAGCGCGCGUAGGCGGCUUUGCAAGUCGGAUGUGAAAUCCCCGGGCUCAACCUGGGAACUGCAUUCGAGACUGCAUUGCUUGAGUAUGGGAGAGGGAGGCGGAAUUUCAGGUGUAGCGGUGAAAUGCGUAGAUAUCUGAAGGAACAUCAGUGGCGAAAGCGGCCUCCUGGACCAAUACUGACGCUCAUGUGCGAAAGCGUGGGGAGCAAACAGG